UACAGAGGUCUCGAGCGUUUAGGCGGAAUCACUGGGCUUAAAGCGUGUGUAGGUGGAUCGUUAAGUACCUUGUGAAAUCCCACGGCUCAACCGUGGAACCGCUGGGUAUACUGGUUGUCUUGAGCCGGCUAGGGGCGAGCGGAACAGACGGUGGAGCGGUGAAAUGCGUAGAUAUCGUCUGGAACGCCGAAGGUGAAAACAGCUCGCUGGGGCCGCGGCUGACGCUGAGACACGAAAGCCAGGGGAGCGAACGGG
rnacentral:rRNA from 1 species